rnacentral:rRNA from 1 species
UAAUACGGAGGGUGCAAGCGUUAAUCGGAAUUACUGGGCGUAAGGCGCACGCAGGCGGUUUGUUAAGUCAGAUGUGAAAUCCCCGGGCUCAACCUGGGAACUGCAUUUGAAACUGGCAAGCUAGAGUCUCGUAGAGGGGGGUAGAAUUCCAGGUGUAGCGGUGAAAUGCGUAGAGAUCUGGAGGAAUACCGGUGGCGAAGGCGGCCCCCUGGACGAAGACUGACGCUCAGGUGCGAAAGCGUGGGGAGCAAACAGGAUUAGAUACCCUGGUAGUCCACGCUGUAAACGAUGUCGAUUUGGAGGUUGUGCCCUUGAGGCGUGGCUUCCGGAGCUAACGCGUUAAAUCGACCGCCUGGGGAGUACGGCCGCAAGGUUA